UAUAGUACGAAAAUAGGACAUAAAAAAAGGAACGGGGCGUGUACGAAAUAGAGAAGCGCCAUUAGAAGACAGAGAUAAAAAGUGCUGCUGUUCUUGUUGCUCUUUCUCUGCGCGAAUAGAAUGCGCACGAGCUUUUGCUGACAAAAAUCGUUUCCCGACCUGUUCUGAAGAAUAUCAUGUUUCUUUCUUUUAAGUUUAAUGCCCGAUGAAAAUUAGUUAUUUUAAUCUGUGGAUCUAUACUGAAAAAUAUAAUUUAAGAUAAAUAUAGAUUUCGUAAUUAUUUAGAGAAAUUUUAUAAUUAUCAUCGUGAUACAUGAGAAACUUCUUUCGACUUUUAAAGCGUUUUCUGAUUGAAAGUUCGAUUUAUUGAGACGUGUUACGUAUUUAUAUAGGAAUAAGUAAAGGAUUGGAUCCCAAGACUGGAGAAAGAUGAUUACCAUAACACGUUACGUGAUUUUUCACUUCCUACUACCAUUCACGAUUUUAUACUGCAUCUAUGCUCGAGUGAUACGCUGAUUUCUAUUAUGUACACGCUAAAUUUAAACAGACUUUUGUAUAGUGGUGGUUCCAGAUUUUAUUUUUAUUAAAAAGGAGAAAGUAUUAUGAAUUUAAAUAAUAUCAUAUUUCGAGUAAAUCAUAUGUAUAUUUUUUUAGAAAUAGCAUUUCGUAACUCAUUAAUCAAGUUGAGAUACGUAUAUUUGUUGACCUUGUUAAAAGAUAAAAUACGAAUACUUCGUUUUAUCGAUUGUAUGUAAUCAAUAGUAUAAGUAGAAAUUUUGCGUUCUAAAUUGGAUACUUUAUACGGGUAGACAACCAUUGCGAUUGUGUUGUAUAAUAAUAUGUACCUUCAUUUUGGUAAUUUUUACAAGAUAUUGUUACACAAUUUUGUAAAAGAAUUAACAUUAGCUAUUCUCUGACUGUAGAUAUAUUUUAUUUAUGGAAUAUUCGUUAUGUAUCGCAACCUUGUUUGAUUAAUGAAACCAUGUUUUUAAAACAAUGGAUAUUAUGAGAAGUUUGUUAUUCAAACAAACAUCAAGGAAGCAUGUUAUUUUACACUUGCUAUAUGUACCAUUCAUUGUAUAUACGAUAUAAAGUACAGAUUCUGAAACUGGUAGAGUUAGGUUCCCAAUACAAGAACAGCAAUAUCGGCAAGAACAGCAUAUAUUUUUUGUAUCAUAAACAAUUUUAGAUUUCAAAUAAUGAGAUUCUCAUGUCUCGUUUGUGCUGUAAACGCGGUGUAGGUAACCUGUGUAAUAUUAGAGAGGAGAAAUUCUCGGGUAAAAUGAUGUUUUGACGAAGUACCUCUAUCCUAUUAGCGCUUUGUGACGAUUACUGAGUAGUUCCCUUGACCGUCGCAAGAGACAUCGUUGUUAAAAGGAAGUUGUUAAAAAGUGUAAUACAGAUUUUACUGAUGGUAUUAUAGCAAAAAAUCAGAGAAACUUGGAUUUUCGGUAAUUGUAUAUAAAGGGAUACAUUUCAUCGAUUUUAAUGAAAUUUAAAUAUGUAUCAGGGUGAAGAUUUUAUAUAUAAUAUGUAACCGCCGCUCAGUCAUAGUUUUCGAGAUAUUGGUGAAAAACUGUUGCUAUUAGACAUUGAAUUUUGUCUGUACGUGCACAUCAAUGGCACAUACACAUCACGGCGCGACAGCCAGCAAACGAUCUAUAACGGGUGAAUUUGUCGAAAAUGUGUUUAGUUUUUUAGUUUCACAAUGUAUUUAAAUUUGAUCAAAAUCGCUGAGCUCUAUCCUUCUAUGCACAGUUAUCAGAUUUUUUACUUUGACGCAAUCUACAGGUUGUCAGAGAACUAUCAGGAAAUAGUCACAAAUCGCCUGAGGGGUGUUCGAACACCUUUAUACUAUACUAUGACUGGAAGUGCCCCUAUCAUGGGACUUUCAGAAUCUAUAUAUACGAUUGUGCUUUAUAUGUACGCUAUACUAAGCUAUAUACACUUACGUAACGGUGUCAGAGGCAUGCAUAGGUUAUGACGUAUUGGCAAUAGCGAAUAGAGGCAACCAGCCCCUGUGCUAUAAGGUCGAUUUCACACGAUGAUACGUGUAUGAAAUGUGGAUAUGCUAUAGUAUAUCUAACGAGGCGAGACAGUCGACUUUCGAAUGUCACUAGUCGGCAGCCAAUAGUUGCAACCGCAGUAAUCAAAUUUAGUUCACAUUCAUUGUCCCGUCACGUUGGAUAGACUACACUAUUUGGUGGUACUGAUUUCGUGCAUCUUGAGAAACUUGAUCGCUGACGAUACUUUCACUCAAGAAUAAACGAUACUGUAUAUUUUAUUCCUGGAAAUAUAUCUCAUGCGUAUAUUGCGGUACGUAUUUUGCGGUACACGUAUCGUCGCGUGAAACCGGCUUAACGCUCUUAAUAUGGGGAAGAAGAUUCAGAUUCACACACACACACACACAAUGAGCCGCUGCAACGCGCAUGUGUACAGAAACACGAGGUAGACGCGGAGAGCAAAUCGUGCUUGAGUAUUGGCAUCGAGACGUUGUACGAAGUAGGAAAGCGAGAGUAAAGGAAAUGUGAAAAAGGCUAUUAAAUAAUGACUGUUCCAUACAGUCAAGAACUUAAGUUGUCCUGGAUUGAAGUCACCACGUGGGGGUUUAAGCAGAGGGGUUUACAUUAUAGACUUUUUUAUACAUUAUGGUAGUUCUUGAUACGUAAAAUCCAAAAAUGUAAGUCAUUAGGAGUCUAGCGGUUCAAAAAUUACAUAGGGAGAAAAAUUUUGAAUCGGAAUCUUCUACUUGCCAAGCGGGUAUUUUACUGAUUGAGCUAUCCAGAAAAGUACGUGUCCGGUUGAGAAUUAAACUAUUGCAAGUUGCUGUCGAAAGUAUUUCUUCAGCGUUUGAGAGUAACUGUUUCAGAGGGAUGAGGUAGCUUACUCUCGAAUAGACCAUGAUCGAAGAGCUACUGGCACAAUUCGAAACAAUUUCAUAUUUUAAAAGUAGUAUAUCACGACAAUUCAUAACAUGAGAAACCAGCUCUCGCAAUAAACAUCACAAGAUCGUCACACAUGAAGGCAUCGGUGGUUAAUUGUAAAUAAAAGGAACUGGUUCAAUUAUACACUGAACUUCUGUUGCGUUCAUUUGCACAAAAUUGCAAAACAUCUUGGUAUCAUCUUCAAUUCGAAAAUCCCUUCUAAAUAAUGAACAUUACAGAUAGUAAGCUUUCGGUGAGUUUUUCUAGUAAGUUCGAGGGUAUUAAUUUUCCAACUUGCUUUCAGAUAGACAGACAAUUUAAGAGUACUCUCGAGAACAACUAUCGGACGAAAUUCCCAAAUCGACACGUACCUUAAUAUUGUUUCUUUUUUAUAGAAAUGAUUUUUCCGUGAAAUUUGUUACAACUGACGCAUAAUCCUUACCUGACAUCUAUGACAUACAGGUUAGGUUCAACUAACGAUUGACAGAUGGGAUGCGGCCUUGUAUUAUUGGCUAAGUUUAUACGAAAAAAUCUUUUUUAUUUUUAUUUUAUUAUUUUCUUACUGUAAGAUUUUUGUGUCUUCACGAAAGUAUUAUAUUAACCAGAAUAGCAUUAUAUUGUGAUAAAUAAUUUUUAUUUAAAUAGCAAACAAUAAAAAUGGAAACGAUAAUAGACAAAAUUCAAUAAUUUUAAACGGUAUCGACAUAUACGUAAUUCGGAUUACGUCACAUUAAAUAAUACAUUAUUUAUCAAUAUAUAAGAAAUAAACACAGUGCUUCAUAUUUAAUAAAAAUAGCUUCAGUAAUUAUACCAACAGUAAGCUGAAGAAUAAAUACUUAAUGUGUUGCUUCUUUUAAAGAAACUCAACUUUGUUAAACAUUAUUUAGAUUUUUAAAAGAUUUUCUAAUAUUAAAAAGAAAUGUUACUAAAUUCUAUACUGAAUAAAUAAAAUAUUAAAGAGAAAUGUUAUUUUUUUUACAAUUUUCAAUUUUACAAUUCCAUUAAGCUUUAUAUCUAAUCUAAAUUGGAAGAAACAACUUCAUGAAUACAUCAUGGAGAUCCUAAUCGACGAAUAGGUCACAAUAUUGUUUUUUUACAAGGAAUUAAUAUUUAAACGUCAAUGCGGAACUGAAUUAUAUAUUUCUUAGUAUACGACUGGAUAUAUCGUUAUAAAAGAAAAAUGUUUAUUACAUAAGAAUUCGAUAUUGAUAACGAUCAUAUAACUACUCUUGUAAAAUUCCGCAGCUGAAGAGACUUGAGCAGCAUAGAUAUUAUGUAUUGCACCACAGAUGACGAUGCAAGAUACGUUUCAAUUACAUGAUAAAUGACUGGAAUCCGAGUUCAACUGGGUUCAAAAUAUCGACUACUCUGGUAUUAUAGUCCAGAAAAUUGUCAGUUUCCGAUCCUUCAUAAUAACAGUAAUUAAAUUGACAAAGUGAAGAGCCAUCAAGAUGAACGUGAAUGCACUAUAUACUACCAAAAAGAUAUUUCUCUUAUACAUACAAAUAAUGUAUUGUAUUUAUUGUAUUUGUCUUUCUUGUCUUUCGUCUGCGAGAGGCUUCCGGUUUAUAUAAUAUUCCUUACGAAAUUCAUAUAGCUGCUUUCCUUACGUUUAUUAUAUUUUACAAAUUCAUAACAUAUUCAUCAUUAAGGAUGUAGUAGAAGUAUAAUUAUAAGACAUAAUAUAAGUGAAAUCUUCAAGUAAAGUAUGGUAAAUUUAGCUAUCAUAGUGAUGAAAAACAAAAUAUAUAAAUAAUGAAUAAUUAGCGAAAUAAUUUUGUGUAUGGAAGAUAAGGUAUUGCAUCUUUAAAUAAUUUCUUUCAUAGGAAAAUGAAACGUUACAGAAUUAAUGUGAAAAUAACAAACAUCGUAGUCAUAAAUAACGCGAUUAUUUGAUUCGAAAAAUGAACGAGAUGAAAAAUGAGAUCUUCUGGAAUGACCAGAAAAACAGGUUUGCAGAGAAUGUUUUCGUGCAAGGAUCAAUUUCAGUGAAACAUUUACGCUGGAACACUAUUCUUCUUUCUUCGCGAAAUAUUUAAAUUAUUUCGUACUUCAUUUUCCGUACAAAUUGUUAAAUACAAUGAUGAUUUAAUAAUUCGAGAUCAUUCUAGAGAAUAAACACUCCUAAUACCAAGUGUAUGCUAAAUUGUGCAAAUUGUGCCAGAAGUUGCACUACCACUUUUUUUGUUGCUAGUGUUAGCUGAUAAUUAUACAAUGGUUUUCAAAGAACGAUGAGUUUUUCUAUUCCUAUAUCGACGAAAUGGAAAAUUUCAGAAAUUUAAUUACUUGCCCACAAAUUACAUUCUGUAUUUGUAUGGUUCUACGUGCAUAUAGCACCAUAGAUUUACAGAAAAGUUUAUUUUAUUAAAAAGAAGAAUUGCACUUACGAAAUUCACAGUCUAGAGUAUUGUAAACUCAUUUAAAAAAAAGAAGUGAGUUUAGUUUCUAAUGAAACCGAUCAAUUUUUCGAUCAUUCCUGAAACUGAUUAAGUCUAUUGUGAAUGUGAGUUAUGCUUUUUAGAAUGAGAAUGCAGUUACCCCUUUAAAUAAACUGCUUCGAUCUGUUUUUCAGAGGAUCCGAUUUCUCUUAUCCCAUUAAAAUAUAAGUGAAGUAAAAUUGCACGCAAAAAAUUCUCUAUCUUUUAAAAAAUACACUCCUCGAUCAUCUGAGAAAGUAAUUAUUUCCAAUAUUAUUAGCCGCAUCAGCGCGGUGUCCAGCUUCAGUAUAAUAUCCUCAACGAUAUUAAUUUAACAACUGUUAUAUUAAACAAGUUCUUUCGCGCUUAUUUUAUUGCAUUCCGCUUAACCCUCCAUUUAAUAUUUCUUAAAAUCGAUAAUUUAUAUUUUAAAUAAUUUCUCAGUUCAUUCUCAUUUCAAAUAUAUUAUAUAUUUCUAAUCACUCUUAAUUCACUCAAUAACAAUCUGAAAUCAACAACUUUUACUUAAAAAGGUUUCUCGUUUCAUUUGUAUUAUAAAUCAUAUCAUUCGUCUUCUAUUUUCUCUAAUUCAUUUCUUACGUUAGAAUAGUAUUCCCCUUCAUUUCUGCAUUCCUAUUUAAACAAUUGACACUUCGUGGCCCUAGUUCUCAACUGUUCCUCUUAACUUCAUUUCUUAGAAACAUAUAAUUAAUCAAUCCACAUAUGUCUAAUUGAUAUAAAGAUACAAAUACAUGAUAACAUGAUGAAAAUUCUACCUAGAAAGCAACAAAUAUUUAGUUCUUUUAAGUCCUACUUCCACGCAAUAAUAUCAAAUUCCUUAUAGAUUUUAAACUCAGUUUCUUCGGUUUACGAACUAAUGGACAUAGGACAGUUGAGAACUAGAGCAACGACUUAUCUUACUUUUCAUUAUUUUUAA